AUGAAGAUGAUGUUGAAAGUGAUUUUGAUCCUGAAAACAUGACGAGAAAAUGUAGAGCUUUUUAAUGAUAAUU
rnacentral:snoRNA from 1 species